GAACGCUGGCGGCGUGCCUAAUACAUGCAAGUCGAGCGCGGGAAGCAAGCAUAUCUCCUUCGGGAGUGACGCUUGUGGAACGAGCGGCGGACGGGUGAGUAACACGUGGGAAUCCGCCCAUUAGUGGGGGAUAACUCGGGGAAACUCGAGCUAAUACCGCAUAAUCCCUACGGGGGAAAGCAGGGGAUCUUCGGACCUUGCGCUGAUGGAUGAGCCCGCGUCGGAUUAGCUUGUUGGUGGGGUAAUGGCCCACCAAGGCGACGAUCCGUAACUGGUCUGAGAGGAUGGCCAGUCACACCGGGACUGAGACACGGCCCGGACUCCUACGGGAGGCAGCAGUGGGGAAUCUUGGACAAUGGGCGCAAGCCUGAUCCAGCCAUGCCGCGUGUGUGAAGAAGGCCUUCGGGUUGUAAAGCACUUUCAGUAGGGAGGAAGGCUUUGGGCUAAUACCCUGGAGUACUUGACGUUACCUACAGAAGAAGCACCGGCUAAUUUCGUGCCAGCACCCGCGGUAAUACGAAAGGUGCGAGCGUUACUCGCAAUUACUGGGCGUAAAGCGCGCGUAUGCGGUGUGUUAAGUCGGAUGUGAAAGCCCAGGGCUCAACCUUGGAAUUGCAUCCGAUACUGGCACGCUAGAGUGCAGUAGAGGGAGGUGGAAUUUCCGGUGUAGCGGUGAAAUGCGUAAAGAUCGGAAGGAACACCAGUGGCGAAGAGCGGCUUCCUGGACUGACACUGACGCUGAGGUGGGAAAAGCGUGGGGAGCAAACAGGAUUAGAUACCCUGGUAGUCCACGCCGUAAACCGAUGUCUACUAACCGUUGGGGUCCUUAGUGACUUUGGUGGCGCAGCUAACGCGAUAAGUAAAACCGCCUGGGGGAGUACGGCCGCAAGGUUAAAACUCAAAUGAAUUGUCGGGGGCCCGCACAAGCGGUGGAGCAUGUGGUUUAAUUCGAUGCAACGCGAAGAACCUUACCAGGCCUUGACAUCCUGCGAACUUUAUAGAGAUAGAUUGGUGCCUUCGGGAGCGCAGUGACAGGUGCUGCAUGGCUGUCGUCAGCUCGUGUCGUGAGAUGUCGGGUUAAGUCCCGUAACGAGCGCAACCCUUGUCCUUAGUUGCCAGCACUUCGGGUGGGAACUCUAGGGAGACUGCCGGUGACAAACCGGAGGAAGGGGGGGACGACGUCAAGUCAUCAUGGCCCUUACGGCCUGGGCUACACACGUGGUACAAUGGAGGGAACAAAGGGCAGAGAAGCCGCGAGGCCAAGCAAAUCCCAUAAAACCAUUUUCAGUUCGGAUUGCAGGUUGCAACUCGCAGGCAUGAAGCCGGAAUCGUUAGUAAUCGCGGAUCAGCAUGCCGCGGGGAAUACGUUUCCGGGUCU
rnacentral:rRNA from 1 species